rnacentral:rRNA from 1 species
UGAGUGCGAGCUGCUACGGCAGCGAAGUUGGUGACGUCAAGCUUCCAAGAAAAGCCCUAUACCCGUUAAGGCAUCAUGGCCUGUACCCGAAACCGACACAGGUGGGGUGGUAGAGAAUACCGAGGGGCGCGAGGUAACUCUCUCUAAGGAACUCGGCAAAAUGGCCCCGUAACUUCGGGAGAAGGGGUGCCACCGCAAGGUGGUCGCAGUGAAGAGGCCCAGGCGACUGUUUACCAAAAACACAGGUCUCCGCUAAGUCGCAAGACGAUGUAUGGGGGCUGACGCCUGCCCAGUGCCGGAAGGUUAAGGAAGCUGGUCAGCGCAAGCGAAGCUGGCGACUGAAGCCCCGGUGAACGGCGGCCGUAACAAUAACGGUCCUAAGGUAGCGAAAUUCCUUGUCGGGUAAGUUCCGACCCGCACGAAAGGCGUAACGAUCUGGGCGCUGUCUCGGAGAGAGGCUCGGCGAAAUAGAAUUGUCUGUGAAGAUGCGGACUACGUGCACCCGGACAGAAAGACCCUAUGAAGCUUUACUGUAGCUUGGUAUUGUGCCCGGGCUCUGAAUGCGCAGGAUAGGUGGGAGGCUUUGAUCAUCGGCUUGCGGGUCGAUGUGAGCCAACGGUGAGAUACCACUCUUUCAGAGCUAGGGUUCUAACAGUCACCCGUUAUCCGGGGACUGGACAGUAUCAGGUGGGCAGUUUGACUGGGGCGGUCGCCUCCUAAAAGGUAACGGAGGCGCGCAAAGGUCUGCUCAGGCUGGUUGGAAAUCAGCCGACGAGUGUAAAAGCAGAAGCAGGCUUGACUGUGAGACCUACAAGUCGAACAGGGAGGAAACUCGGCUUUAGUGAUCCGGCGGUUCUGCGUGGAAGGGCCGUCGCUCAACGGAUAAAAGUUACUCUAGGAUAACAGGCUGAUCUCCCCCAAGAGUUCACAUCGACGGGGAGGUUUGGCACCUCGAUGUCGGCUCAUCGCAACCUGGGGCUGAAGUCGGUCCCAAGGGUUGGGCUGUUCGCCCAUUAAAGCGGUACGCGAGCUGGGUUCAGAACGUCGUGAGACAGUUCGGUCCAUAUCCGGUGCAUGCGCAGGAAUAUUGAGAGGAGUUCUCCCUAGUACGAGAGGACCGGGAGGAACGCACCUCUGGUGUACCAGUUAUCGUGCCAACGGUAAACGCUGGGUAGCCAUGUGCGGAGAGGAUAACCGCUGAAAGCAUCUAAGUGGGAAGCCCACCUCAAGAUGAGUAUUCCCAUGGCGUUAGCCAGUAAGGUCACGGGAAGAACACCCGUUGAUAGGCUCUAUGUGGAAGCGCAGUAAUGCGUGAAGCAGAGGAGUACUAAUAGACCGAGGGCUUGACC